rnacentral:rRNA from 1 species
AAGUGCUAUCCGCCCUGGACCGUGUACAAGUCUCCUGGAACGGAGCGUCAUAGAGGGUGAGAAUCCCGUCUUUGACACGGACUACCAGGGCUUUGUGAUGCGCUCUCAAAGAGUCUAGUUGUUUGGGAAUGCAGCUCUAAAUGGGUGGUAAAUUCCAUCUAAAGCUAAAUAUUGGCGAGAGACCGAUAGCGAACAAGUACCGUGAGGGAAAGAUGAAAAGAACUUUGGAAAGAGAGUUAAAAAGUACGUGAAAUUGUUGAAAGGGAAACGCUUGAAGUCAGUCGCGUUGGCCGGGGAUCAACCUUGCUCUUUUGCUUGGCGUACUUUCCGGUUGACGGGUCAGCAUCAAUUUUGACCGGUGGAUAAAGGUCAGGGGAAUGUGGCAUCUUCGGAUGUGUUAUAGCCCUUGGUCGCAUACAUCGGUUGGGAUUGAGGAACUCAGCACGCCGCAAGGCCGGGUCUUUGACCACGUACGUGCUUAAGAUGCUGGCAUAAUGGCUUUAAUCGACCC